GGGGGGGUGCGCAGCCGGGAAGGUGAGAGACAGCGAUGCUCUCUGCUAGGGCCUGGAGCAAAAACCUUUGUCCCGCAGAUCAUGGAGGGAUCCUAGAAACCCACAUCACACCCAGAGAAGGGCUGGAUGGGGGCAAUUAUGGACAGCGAAACAACUCUUGGGACUGAUUACGGUGUAACUAGCAGAUUCCCCCGGCUGAACCCCUCUGCUGGGCUGAAUUUAGCAGCACAAGAGAUAAUCGGCAGAUAACGGCUGAUACCCGGGAGGACAGCGGGAGACGGGCAGGCGGCCGAGGAGAGGGGGAGAAGCCGGAGGCAGCGUUGGGAAGGGCUGUGUAUCCAGAUGUUCAGGGUUCGGGACAUGCAUCUCCUUAUCCACGCCUUGCAGAAUUCUUGCUGAUUUCCUCUACUAAAUCUUCGUUGAAUUCUUACUAAAUAUCAGCGCUUUCCUUAAAAAAAAAAAAAAAAAAGAAGUAAAAAUCCAAUUAAAGCCUAUUAAAACCGCCCGAGGAGCUCUACCAGGAGCUGGUGAUUUCAAGGACCUGCCUUGGGUUUGUCUGUUCUGGGAAAAAACGCGCACACACAGGGCAAAAUACCUUGUGGCCAUAUCCAGCCUCUUUCAAUGGGGAAAUACUUGCCCUCGGCGCCGAGCGUCGCGUCGCUACCGGCGCUCACGGCCAGAAGGCUACUCCGUGAGGAGCCGAGCCCCAGCCUUAAGCGCCAGCCGGGAGGGAGAGGAUGGAUUUCGGACACUUUCUAUGCCCCCCAAAACCAGAUGCAAAGAAUGGGACAAGGACAGAGCCCAGCGACAAGGCGGG